AUUGAACGCUGGCGGCAUGCCUUACACAUGCAAGUCGAACGGUAACAGGUCUUCGGAUGCUGACGAGUGGCGAACGGGUGAGUAAUACAUCGGAACGUGCCUAGUAGUGGGGGAUAACUACUCGAAAGAGUGGCUAAUACCGCAUGAGAUCUACGGAUGAAAGCAGGGGAUCGCAAGACCUUGUGCUACUAGAGCGGCCGAUGGCAGAUUAGGUAGUUGGUGGGAUAAAAGCUUACCAAGCCGACGAUCUGUAGCUGGUCUGAGAGGACGAUCAGCCGCACUGGGACUGAGAGACGGCCCAGACUCCUACGGGAGGCAGCAGUGGGUAAUUUUGGACACUGGGCGAAAGCCUGAUCCAGCAAUGCCGCGUGCAGGAUGAAGGCCUUCGGGUUGUAAACUGCUUUUGUACGGAACGAAAAGCCCUGGGUUAAUACCCUGGGGUCAUGACGGUACCGUAAGAAUAAGCACCGGCUAACUACGUGCCAGCCGCCGCGGUAACAC
rnacentral:rRNA from 1 species